GCUGAGGUCGCAUAAUCUGGUAGUGCGCCGGUCUUGAAGCCAUUCUUGUGAACGGCUCGCCGUUCAGAUGGCCUGAAAACCGGUCCCUCCGGGAUUGCAGGUUCAAAUCCUGCCCUCAGCG
rnacentral:tRNA from 1 species